rnacentral:rRNA from 1 species
UACGUAGGGGACGAGCGUUGUCCGGAAUUACUGGGCGUAAAGGGCGCGUAGGCGGCCCGCUAAGUCCGCUGUGAAAGCCCGAGGCUCAACCUCGGAGGGUCAGCGGAGACUGGAGGGCUGGGGUGUCGGAGAGGAGUGCGGAAUCCCUGGUGUAGCGGUGGAAUGCGUAGAGAUCAGGGGGAACACCGAUGGCGAAGGCAGCACUCUGGCCGAAGACCGACGCUGAGGCGCGAAAGCUGGGGGAGCGAACGGG